UACAGAGGGUGCGAGCGUUAAUCGGAAUUACUGGGCGUAAAGCGUGCGUAGACGGUAAUGUAAGUCGGGUGUGAAAGCCCCGGGCUCAACCUGGGAAUUGCAUUCGAGACUGCAUCGCUUGGGUGCGGAAGAGGGAAGCGGAAUUUCCGGUGUAGCGGUGAAAUGCGUAGAUAUCGGAAGGAACACCAGUGGCGAAAGCGGCUUCCUGGUCCGACACCGACGUUCAGGCACGAAAGCGUGGGGAGCAAACAGGGA
rnacentral:rRNA from 1 species